UGCUUUACAUUAUGAGCGACACAGCAGCAAUAGCCUGCCAGGACUAAUGAUGGACCUCAGGAAUAAAGGUGUUUCUGAGAAGUAUCGAAAGCUCGUGUCUGCAGUUGUUGAAUAUGGUGGUAAACGAGUCAGAGGAAGUGACCUCUUCAGCCCCAAAGAUGCUGUGGCUAUCACCAAACAAUUCCUCAAAGGACUGAAGGUAUAGACAUCUCCUCUAUGCUCUCCUGAGUGAGAACAGUUGAAGCCCCUGAGGCUGAGAGUGAAUGAAUAUGAUCUUCAAAAUAUCUUGAAGAUUGCUGCUAAUUUAGUACUAUGUCAGUUAAAUGAAAUUAAAACUGGCAUCCUCUUGAAA
rnacentral:sRNA from 1 species